AUUGAACGCUGGCGGCAGGCCUAACACAUGCAAGUCGAACGAGUGGCGGACGGGUGAGUAAUGUCUGGGAAACUGCCUGUUAGAGGGGGAUAACUACUGGCAACGGUAGCUAAUACCGCAUACCAUCGGAUGAGCCCAGAUGGGAUUAGCUAGUUGGUGGGGUAACGGCUCACCAAGGCGAAGAUCCCUUGCUGGUCUGAGAGGAUGCCCAGCCACCCUGGAAGUGAGACACGGCCCAGACUCCUACGUGAGGCAGCAGUGGGGAUUAUUGCACAAUGGGCGCAAGCCUGAUGCAGCCAUUCCGCGUGGAUGAAGCAGGCCUUCGGGUUGUAAAGUACUUUCAGCGGGGAGGCGUUACCCGCAGAAGAAGCACCGGCUAACUCCGUGCCAGCAGCCGCGGUAAUUC
rnacentral:rRNA from 1 species